rnacentral:rRNA from 1 species
AACGAACGCUGGCGGCAUGCCUAACACAUGCAAGUCGAACGAGACCUUCGGGUCUAGUGGCGCACGGGUGCGUAACGCGUGGGAACCUGCCCUUAGGUUCGGAAUAACUCCCCGAAAGGGGUGCUAAUACCGGAUAAUGUCUUCGGACCAAUGAUUUAUCGCCUUUGGAUGGGCCCGCGUUGGAUUAGCUAGUUGGUAGGGUAAAAGCCUACCAAGGCGACGAUCCAUAGCUGGUCUGAGAGGAUGAGCAGCCACACUGGGACUGAGACACGGCCCAGACUCCUACGGGAGGCAGCAGUGGGGAAUAUUGGACAAUGGGCGGAAGCCUGAUCCAGCAAUGCCGCGUGAGUGAUGAAGGCCUUAGAGUUGUAAAGCUCUUUUACCCGGGAUGAUAAUGACAGUACCGGGAGAAUAAGCUCCGGCUAACUCCGUG